GCUCCUCGCACUCGCGCCGCCCAGCUCUUCCUCUUUCUCCCGCGUCACCUCCCUCUCUCCCUCCAACCCUAGACCCGCGCCCGUCUCCCUGCCCCGCCGCCGUCCAGAUCCAACCCCACCCUGCCGUCAUUCUCCUUCGCCCAGACCAAUCCCAUCUCAACCUCCCUCGAUCUUUCUCUCUCUAAAAAAAACCUCCCUCGAUCUCCCGUACAUCCCCUGCCAUCGCGUCGCUGCCGUCGCUGCCGCUCGACUCGGCCCCCGUCCCCGACCUCACGCUGCCCGGCGCCUCCUCCCCACACCAAGGACCUCCCCUUGCUCCGCCUCUUCUUCCUAUCCGGCUAGAACUGCGGCGCACGGCCUCUCAUGCUCGCUCGCGACCCUCAGCCGUGUCUAGGGUUUCGGGCUGGGCAGCGCCUUCGCCGCCGGCGCGGCUCCGGUGGGCUCUGACGACUCCUCUCCGUCUCCUCCCUCGCCCCCACGUGCGGUUCCACUUCCCGCUGGCCACGAGGUGCAGCCUUGCAGGGGCGCAUCGGGCUGGGUCGCCUCUGUUUCUGAUUUGGUGCAGCAGACGCUGUGGGGUUGAGGUGUUCUUGGACGAUUUGCUUAAGGUAGAGAUCCACCACUGAUGACACAAGUCUGCUACCCUGCUCCUGUGAAGGUCACUGAAGGCCUGCGCCUCCCACCGUGGUAUCCUCUCUCAACUUGCACCUCUUCAUGAUAACAGGAUGGUUUCUGGCAAACAUUUAUCAGGAACUUCAGCUAGGUAUGAAGCACAAUAAAGGUGGCAAUAAGAUGUGCGGGCAAUUAUCAGUGUUUUCGUGACCAUGCUGAUGUGGAGCUGCCAUUGAGGCACAUUUUGCCUCCAAGAUAUCAAACCCUCCAACCUCCACUUUCUUUAGGAUUGUCCCGAGCCCAUCUCACCUCGGUCUUCUCUCCCCCAUGGAUUCGAUUGUGUGCAUGGAUGAGGAAAGAGUCAUUGCAAGAGGUGUUGGUGGAGACGGAGGUUGAGUGGACGACCGACAUACACGGCUUCAUCUAUAACUGCCUCUAUGGCUUCCUCGGCCUCAAUGUUAGCCUCCCUGCUUCACUACUGCAAAAGGGUUUGCAGCUUUGUGUGGUGAUGGCCCUGCCCCUGGCCAAUAUCGAUGCGCAUAUGAGUGAUCUUUGGCUAUGGAGGCGUAUCUUCUGAUGGUCUACAACAGUGUUUUGUUUCUCUGCUGGCUCCGAUUAUGUUAGGUCAUGUUGGUUGGCAUACAUUUAUUUCUGUAUUUGGCACUUCUGGUUGGCUGAUGUUGUUAUGUUGUCCAAGGAAACACAAUACUUACGUUGGUGUCUACGACAGACUUUUGUUGUUCUACUGCCUGUACCCUGUUUGUCUAGAAGAUGAAGGGGAUGGAUGCAAACUUAUGUAUGCAAUGCCAGGAUGAUCAUGGUAGCUUAUGUGAUUGUCGCUGGUCUUCUAUAUCAACGG
rnacentral:rRNA from 1 species